UCAUUAUUAACAUAACUUGUUAUAUAAGCGUAAGGAACACACAGUCCAUAAGGAUACACUGAACUGCAGAUUUAACCAUCACCAGCUAUUGAUACCGUAUGUAAGUUUUAUUUCAAUCUCUAGUUUGCAGCUUGUGAUGCUAGUAACACACAUCAUUUGAUGAAGAUGUGGGUCCAGCAGCCUUGAUAUAGAGUGGAUCCCAUGUCAUCCCUUCUGUACCACAGUGACCACCUGUAAUGCUACCAACCUGGGUCGAACUAUACCCUGCCACUGCAGCAGCAAUUGCUGUCUGUGCUGCUAUGCUAUUCCUUUCAGCUGCUGCUUUGAGACGGUGCCUCUCAGCUCUAGAACCAAUAACCU
rnacentral:misc_RNA from 1 species